CGGUGUUUUAGUCCAUUCAGAGGAAUCUGUCUUUUAAUUGAUAAUACACGAUUGAUUUUACUUAAAUUUGUUAUCAGUUUAUAUACCGUCGUCAUAAGAAUAUUUUUGAAGAAAAUUAAAUUUCUUAAUAUUAUAUUAAAUGUUAUGUCAGAUCAAGGUGUAAUUUAUGUUUAAGUUUAGAUGGAUUACAAUAAAUUUAUUUAUAUGAAUUAAUAAUUUAAUUGUUAUUAUGAAGGUGGAUUUGAUUGUAAAUUGUAUUGAUUAUUAUUUUUGAUUUU
rnacentral:rRNA from 1 species